GCAAGUCGAACGGCAGCACGAGAGAGCUUGCUCUCUUGGUGGCGAGUGGCGGACGGGUGAGUAAUAUAUCGGAACGUGCCUAGUAGCGGGGGAUAACUACUCGAAAGAGUGGCUAAUACCGCAUACGCCCUACGGGGGAAAGGGGGGGAUCGCAAGACCUCUCACUAUUAGAGCGGCCGAUAUCGGAUUAGCUAGUUGGUGGGGUAAAGGCUCACCAAGGCAACGAUCCGUAGCUGGUUUGAGAGGACGACCAGCCACACUGGGACUGAGACACGGCCCAGACUCCUACGGGAGGCAGCAGUGGGGAAUUUUGGACAAUGGGGGAAACCCUGAUCCAGCCAUCCCGCGUGUAUGAUGAAGGCCUUCGGGUUGUAAAGUACUUUUGGCAGAGAAGAAAAGGUACCUCCUAAUACGAGGUACUGCUGACGGUAUCUGCAGAAUAAGCACCGGCUAACUACGUGCCAGCAGCCGCGGUAAUACGUAGGGUGCAAGCGUUAAUCGGAAUUACUGGGCGUAAAGCGUGUGUAGGCGGUUCGGAAAGAAAGAUGUGAAAUCCCAGGGCUUAACCUUGGAACUGCAUUUUUAACUGCCGAGCUAGAGUAUGUCAGAGGGGGGUAGAAUUCCACGUGUAGCAGUGAAAUGCGUAGAUAUGUGGAGGAAUACCGAUGGCGAAGGCAGCCCCCUGGGAUAAUACUGACGCUCAGACACGAAAGCGUGGGGAGCAAAACAGGAUUAGAUACCCUGGUAGUCCACGCCCUAAACGAUGUCAACUAGCUGUUGGGGCCGUUAGGCCUUAGUAGCGCAGCUAACGCGUGAAGUUGACCGCCUGGGGAGUACGGUCGCAAGAUUAAAACUCAAAGGAAUUGACGGGGACCCGCACAAGCGGUGGAUGAUGUGGAUUAAUUCGAUGCAACGCGAAAAACCUUACCUACCCUUGACAUGUCUGGAAUCCCGAAGAGAUUUGGGAGUGCUCGCAAGAGAACCGGAACACAGGUGCUGCAUGGCUGUCGUCAGCUCGUGUCGUGAGAUGUUGGGUUAAGUCCCGCAACGAGCGCAACCCUUGUCAUUAGUUGCUACGCAAGAGCACUCUAAUGAGACUGCCGGUGACAAACCGGAGGAAGGUGGGGAUGACGUCAAGUCCUCAUGGCCCUUAUGGGUAGGGCUUCACACGUCAUACAAUGGUCGGGACAGAGGGUCGCCAACCCGCGAGGGGGAGCCAAUCUCAGAAACCCGAUCGUAGUCCGGAUCGCAGUCUGCAACUCGACUGCGUGAAGUCGGAAUCGCUAGUAAUCGCGGAUCAGAAUGUCGCGGUGAAUACGUUCCCGGGUCUUGUACACACCGCCCGUCACACCAUGGGAGUUUGUUUCUUCCAGAAGUAGGUAGCCUAACCGUAAGGAGGGCGCUAACCUGUGGAG
rnacentral:rRNA from 1 species